rnacentral:rRNA from 1 species
UACGUGAAACCGUCCAGGGGUAAACCUGCAAGACUCGAAUUAACGAACAGAGAGAUUCAGCGUCAUUCCGCGACGUGUGGACGCGUAGCUCGAUGUCACCAGCAUCGGUCGGGCGACACGGGUCGCGUGCGCUACGUUCGCGGACGACGUGCACUUCUCUCUUAGUAYCACAUUGUGACCCGUUCGAUGUUUGUCUAGGCGCUGUUUGGGAUUGCCCGCCCAGGCUCAGCGGGCGGCUUGACCGAUGACGCCGACUUACAUUGGACGGUACUGAGCGCGUACGGCGGGACAAUGCACAUAUAUGGUUUAUAUCUUGCACGAGUGCGGAUGUGGAYACAGUCAUGUGUAUAAGUCGAAGCCGUAAAGUCUUUGACUUAGCGAGACUCUGUCUACAAUGAUUCUGUUUCGGGCACUUGCAGGACCCGUCUUGAAACACGGACCAAGGAGUCUAGCAUGUGUGCGAGUCAUUGAGUUAAUUAAACUUAAAGGCGCAACGAAAGUGAAGGCGUACGUGCGUACGCUUAGGAAGGAUGGGGCGUCAAUCUAGAUUGAUCUCUCGCACUUCCGAGGCGUCUCGUUUCCAAUCCGUGAAUGCAAGACGCGCUCUGAGCAUACAUGCUGGGACCCGAAAGAUGGUGAACUAUGCCUGGCCAGGUUGAAGUCAGGGGAAACCUUGAUGGAGGACCGAAGCGAUUCUGACGUGCAAAUCGAUCGUCAAAGCUGGGUAUAGGGGCGAAAGACUAAUCGAACCAUC